rnacentral:lncRNA from 1 species
CUGGUAGCUCCUCCCUGUUAAAUGCCCAUCUCAAUGCCUCUGCCCUAAGUGAGUUGUGCAAUAAAUGAGCUGUCACUCUGAACAGGUGGGAAAGAAGUGAACUGCUUGUUCACUUGCUGCUGUUGCCACUGCUGGUACAGAAAUAGAAGCACAAAAAAACAAAGACAAAAAACCUCCAAGCUCCCUUCAGUAGUUGCUACACCUUCAGAUUGAGACAUCCUUCCUCAUUUACAAACCUCAGCUGUGUCUGGGGGCAGGGCCACAGUGAAACUGCCAGGAGCAAAAAGGCUUCCAAGAAAAAGUACCACAUCAGAUUGGAAACUGGGGACAGAUCAUUCCUGGGAUGUGACGGGCACCAGAAUGCUCCCUCUCCAAAGGAUCUAAGGACCAAAGCUGACAGUUUCUUUACUUGUGCUGAAGAAUCAGGAGACAAACUUGAAUUUGUAAUAUUAAGAAA